UACGUAGGUGGCAAGCGUUAUCCGGAUUUAUUGGGCGUAAAGGGAACGCAGGCGGUCUUUUAAGUCUGAUGUGAAAGCCUUCGGCUUAACCGGAGUAGUGCAUUGGAAACUGAGAGACUUGAGUGCAGAAGAGGAGAGUGGAACUCCAUGUGUAGCGGUGAAAUGCGUAGAUAUAUGGAAGAACACCAGUGGCGAAAGCGGCUCUCUGGUCUGUAACUGACGCUGAGGUUCGAAAGCGUGGGUAGCAAACAGG
rnacentral:rRNA from 1 species